GAACGCAAGAUAUGUUUUAGCUGUCGUUAUGAUUGAAUCAAAGAUAAUGGAAAAUAAGACACAUAAUUCCAUGAAUUAGUUGACAGCAUUCUUUUGUAUGAAUUUGGUUUGAUAGAACAAGUUCUAAGUUACAUAAACAAGUUUGAAACACCCAAUAAAACUACAUCACAUCCAGAACAUAAUAAGAUCAUAGACAAGCUUGCAUGUUGAAAAGCAUGUUUUUGUCACUUGAUUUAUGAUAACCAAUGUUGUGAAAAUUUUUAAUAAAAUCAUGUGUUAUCUAUUUUUAUUUCUAAAAUGACUCAUUAGGUAAUAUUCAUUUUCUCAAUUAUGACAUCCAAAAGUAGCAAUAUUGAAGGUAUCAAUACUCUGUAAAACUGUUAGUGUAAAAGUCCCUACCUUUUCAUGGC
rnacentral:misc_RNA from 1 species